rnacentral:sRNA from 1 species
UGAUGGCACGCCCAAACGUGAGCAGUGAAAUUUCUUGAAUGAAGGCUCACUGGCUGA